UUUAAUUUGAGAGUUCGAUCCUGGCUCAGGAUGAACGCUGGCGGCGUGCUUAACACAUGCAAGUCGAGCGAAGCGAUUUCAAGGAAGUUUUCGGAUGGAAUUGAAAUUGACUUAGCGGCGGACGGGUGAGUAACGCGUGGGUAACCUGCCUCAUACAGGGGGAUAACAGUUGGAAACGGCUGCUAAUACCGCAUAAGCACACAGUGCCACAUGGUACAGUGUGAAAAACUCCGGUGGUAUGAGAUGGACCCGCGUCUGAUUAGGUAGUUGGUGAGGUAACGGCCCACCAAGCCGACGAUCAGUAGCCGACCUGAGAGGGUGACCGGCCACAUUGGGACUGAGACA
rnacentral:rRNA from 1 species